GAUGAACGCUGGCGGCGUGCCUAAUACAUGCAAGUCGAACGCAUUGUGGUUGAAAUGAUAUGAAGAACUUGUUCAGAUUUGAUUUUCAACAUUGCAAUGAGUGGCGAACGGGUGAGUAACACGUGGGAAACCUACCUCUUAGCAGGGGAUAACAUUUGGAAACAAAUGCUAAUACCGUAUAAUAAUUAAAACCGCAUGGUUUUAGUUUAAAAGAUGGUCUUGCUAUCACUAAGAGAUGGUCCCGCGGUGUAUUAGUUAGUUGGUGAGGUAAUGGCUCACCAAGACAAUGAUACAUAGCCGAGUUGAGAGACUGACCGGCCACAAUGGGACUGAGACACGGCCCAUACUCCUACGGGAGGCAGCAGUAGGGAAUCUUCCACAAUGGACGAAAAGUCUGAUGGAGCAACGCCGCGUGUGUGAUGAAGGGUUUCGGCUCGGUAAAACACUAGUUGUAAGAGAAGAAUGACAUUGAGAGU
rnacentral:rRNA from 1 species